UACGUAGGGGGCAAGCGUUGUCCGGAAUCAUUGGGCGUAAAGCGCGUGUAGGCGGCCCGGUAAGUCCGCUGUGAAAGUCCAGGGCUCAACCCUGGAAUGCCGGUGGAUACUGUCGGGCUCGAGUCCGGAAGAGGCGAGUGGAAUUCCUGGUGUAGCGGUGGAAUGCGCAGAUAUCAGGAGGAACACCGAUGGCGAAGGCAGCUCGCUGGGACGGUACUGACGCUGAGGCGCGAAAGCGUGGGGAGCGAACAGG
rnacentral:rRNA from 1 species